CCUACGGGAGGCAGCAGUGAGGAAUAUUGGUCAAUGGACGAGAGUCUGAACCAGCCAAGUAGCGUGAAGGAUGACUGCCCUAUGGGUUGUAAACUUCUUUUAUAUGGGAAUAAAAUGUUCCACGUGUGGGAUUUUGUAUGUACCAUAUGAAUAAGGAUCGGCUAACUCCGUGCCAGCAGCCGAGGUAAUACGGAGGAUCCGAGCGUUAUCCGGAUUUAUUGGGUUUAAAGGGAGCGUAGGUGGAUUGUUAAGUCAGUUGUGAAAGUUUGCGGCUCAACCGUAAAAUUGCAGUUGAAACUGGCAGUCUUGAGUACAGUAGAGGUGGGCGGAAUUCGUGGUGUAGCGGUGAAAUGCUGAGAUAUCACGAAGAACUCCGAUUGCGAAGGCAGUUCACUGGACUGCAACUGACACUGAGGCUCGAAAGUGUGGGUAUCAAACAGGAGUAGAUACCCGUGUAGUC
rnacentral:rRNA from 1 species